rnacentral:lncRNA from 1 species
AGAAAGUGCUAGGCACGUAGGCGUUCAGGAGACAGUCACGGUACUCGUUUCCAGACAGAAGUCAUGAGGAACAAGAGGGAAGGUGCUUUCCCGUGUGCAGCGCUUGGGGAGACUCACACAGACAGAGGAUCUGGCAUGACAGGGAAAGGAGGAAAUGGCUUCUGUUAAUCUCUCCUUCAGCUUCUCCCGCCCUUCCCAUGCACUCUUCCUGUUUCCCUUUCCAGUUCUCACGGUGACUCAAGGAACAACGUGUGAAAUGAAAGACCUCAGGUGCUGUAUUGGCUCUUGACAGCUCUUCAGAAGAAAAUACCUCCUGCCUGUUCUGUUCAGUCCUGGUGCAGCUUCCAGGAAGCCAAAUGACCCACCGGCUUACCCACAUCGCAGGAAGCUUUGGAGCAGAGUCAGUGACUAUGUGAACCUGCCUCAACCUCUGCUCCCUGGUUCAGCAUUUGGCUUGGGAAAAAUGACACUAUUUCCUGUCUCUUAAACAUUAUUUCAAGGCACAGGUCUUCCACCAUUCUGAGAGGCAGGGGGAUCUUUGAGUUCUGCCAGGAGCUGGGGGUUAGGGGUA